AUUGAACGCUGGCGGCAUGCUUUACACAUGCAAGUCGAACGGUAACAGCACUUCGGUGGCUGACGAGUGGCGAACGGGUGAGUAAUACAUCGGAACGUGCCUAGUAGUGGGGGAUAACUACUCGAAAGAGUAGCUAAUACCGCAUGAGAUCUAAGGAUGAAAGCAGGGGACCUUCGGGCCUUGCGCUACUAGAGCGGCUGAUGGCAGAUUAGGUAGUUGGUGGGAUAAAAGCUUACCAAGCCGACGAUCUGUAGCUGGUCUGAGAGGACGACCAGCCACACUGGGACUGAGACACGGCCCAGACUCCUACGGGAGGCAGCAGUGGGGAAUUUUGGACAAUGGGCGCAAGCCUGAUCCAGCAAUGCCGCGUGCAGGAUGAAGGCCUUCGGGUUGUAAACUGCUUUUGUACGGAACGAAAAGCCCACUUCUAAUACAGGAGGGUCAUGACGGUACCGUAAGAAUAAGCACCGGCUAACUACGUG
rnacentral:rRNA from 1 species